UACACAGAUAUAACUCAUGAGAAUAUAGAUGGAUAGAGUCAGGAGAGCGGGAGUGUGUCUGCUUAACAUAGCACUGUAGCUUCUUUUAGUGAAGUACGGCAAGCAAAAUGGGCCAAAAUGUAUCUCAAGGUGACUGUAAGAUAUAUGGCUGCUUGUGUCCAGGAGAGGGAAGUCUAACACCAUUUCCACAUGACGUACCACAGCAUGAGUGUGUUCCGGGCAUAUCAGGAUGCCGACAUGCCAAACGUUGAAUUUAAAAUCAUUUACAUAAAGAAUGUCAAGAGAUGAAAUUAUUGUGAAAGCAAUCAGGAGUGAAUAGAAUGUGUGAGAGUAAAGCGCACACAAAAUUUUGUCUGUCGCUGAUUAGAGCCUAUCAAAGUGGGCCGUCAGAGGUCUCCUCCGCCGCAGUCCCCCCUUUUCUCUCAUCUCCACUUUACAUCUCCUCAAUUCCUUUGCCUUCUGUCAUUCUUGUUCCUCCUUCUCUCUGUUUUCUUCCUCGCCUCCCUCUGUUGUGGCCGCGGCGCUAGCCAGGCGGUAUCGAAUGUAAGCCAAGCACAUCAUAUUUUCAUGUGUUCAUGCCUCUUUUAUCCUCUGCCCUCCCUUUCUCAAUAUUCUCAGUCUCUCUCUCUCUCUCUCUCUCUCUCCCUCUCUCCCUGUGCUGCUCCCUCCCUCUCUCCCUAUUCUUUCUCUAGUUCCCUCCCUCCUGCUCCAAUCUUCAGUUCAGCUAGAGAAAUAGAGGGAGUGAGUGAGGGAAAGAAAGAAAGAAAAAGAAAGAAAGAGUGAGUGAGUGAGUGGAAUAAUGGUGAGCGACGAGGGGAAUUUCAGAGCUUGGAAACUUUUUUCUUCCACCGAAACAGAGAAAAGAUCACAGGUAAGGAGAUUUCGGAGAUGAAAAUCUCUUCUUUUUCACCGUCUACCCAUCUCUCUGUUCUUUUUAUUUCUCUCCCUCUCUUCUUUCUCUCAGGGGGUAGCGGGCCUCUUCCACUAACUGGUGUCAGCUGUUGCAGGAAAUGAAGGGAUCACUUCUAUCCCAGUCUUUCUCUCCCUCUCUCUCUAUCUCUCUCUCUCUCAAUCUCUCUCUAUCUCUCUUCGAGCCAGACUUUUCAUGAGAUUCGUAUCCCUCUAAACACGGCAGAGAGAGAAGGGCCUGCUCAGACAGAGAGAUGAAUGGAACUAAGGAACAGCCGUUUCACAGCUAUUUAUUUUCGCCGCUUUUUGACUCUGUAGAUCAGAUGUUCCGCCUGUUUUUUUCCACCUCGGGAUGGAAUACGCACCCGUCGCACAUGUGACAAGGUGAGAGACGGUGCAUGCGUGUGCGCGAAUGCCCCCACCCCCUAUUGCUGAUCUCUCAUCUUAUAGCCCUCUGGGUAGAAGUCUGGUGUCGUGGCCCUGCCUCUCUCGCGCUCUAUUUCUCUCUCUUUUUUUUUCUCUCUCUCGUCUCCCAUUCAGUUUUCUGUCCUAUAGGCUGAUUAAUCCGGAUACCUUUUCUCCCCAGAUUCUUUGUUUCCUUUGUUCGCAUUUUCCUUUUUCAGCAGUGCUCUGCAGCCGUUUGAAUUUCCCUCUCUCUCAAGUUCCACCUCUCUCUCUCUCUCUCUCUCUCUCUCUCUCUCUCUCUACUCUGCGGUUCUCGGCUCCAGACGGCGGGCAGACAUCAGCCUGUCAGCGUCCUAUAUAGUGCAUGCGGAGGACCUCAGCACCCGAGGCACGGUCAGUCACUGCCGCCAGCUCGCUUCAGCGAGGGCAUGCUGGCACCCCUCCUCUCCUCUGCAGUGUGCCACAGUGCUGGAUGAAGACUAUUGUUCUGGUGCCCUCGUCUUCCUCUGGCACCACACCUCACCCACCACACCAGCCCACUUCGUCAAACAAAUGGCUUUCAGCCUACUUUCCUAUAACAGAAAACAGAGCAGAUUGGAGUCAGCAUUCACAGUCAGAGGCAGGCGCAAGCACCAGAUAAACGCCCCCUUUAAGUGUGUGUAUACUGUAUGUACAUGUGAGUGCACCUUAACUAUGCUUUGUGUUUCUCUGUUUAUCUUUCUGUCAUUUUUCACAAUGCACUGAAUAAGAUGGCCUAGAUGGGACUCCUUUAGUAUUCUUGGUAUUUAAAUGAAUAAUCAUUAUUAAUGAAAGACAAGCAUUACAUUGCUGUGCAAAUGUGCAGAUUACAUAUGGGCCU
ensembl:lncRNA